GAUGAACGCUAGCUACAGGCUUAACACAUGCAAGUCGAGGGGUCUUUUGGAGCUUGCUUUAAAAGACGACCGGCGCACGGGUGAGUAACGCGUAUCCAACCUGCCCUUCAUAUUGGGAUAGCCUUCCGAAAGGAAGAUUAAUACCGAAUAACAUGAUAGAGUUGCCUGAUUUUAUCAUGAAAGCUCCGGCGAUGAAGGAUGGGGAUGCGUUCCAUUAGGUAGUAGGCGGGGUAACGGCCCACCUAGCCGACGACGGAUAGGGGUUCUGAGAGGAAGGUCCCCCACACUGGAACUGGGACACGGUCCAGACUCCUACGGGAGGCAGCAGUGAGGAAUAUUGGUCAAUGGGCGCAAGCCUGAACCAGCCAAGUAGCGUGAAGGAUGACUGCCCUAUGGGUUGUAAACUUCUUUUAUACGGGAACAAACUCUGGUACGUGUACCAGAUUGCGUGUACCGUAUGAAUAAGCAUCGGCUAACUCCGUGCCAGCCGCCGCCGUAACAC
rnacentral:rRNA from 1 species